rnacentral:sRNA from 1 species
UAUCCGGUAACUAUACGGUAUCUGGCCUA